GAUCCGAGCUGCAUCUGUGACCUACACUGCAGCUUGCAGCAAUGCUGGAUCCUUAAUCCACUGAGUGAGGCCAGGGAUUGAACCCACAUGCUCAUGGAGACCACAUCAAGUCCUUAACAUGCUGAGCCACAAUGGGAACUUCUAAUUUUUUUUUUAAUUAAAAAUGUUUCUAAAUUCUAUAUUGGAGUACAGUUGAUUUACAAUGCUGUAUUAGUUUUAGGUGUGCAGCAAAGUGAUUCAGUUGUACAUAAACAUAUAUCCAUUCUUUUUCAGGUUCUUUUCCCAUAUAGAACCAAAAUGAAGAUAAACUGAAUAUUAACUCCACUUAGCCAACAAAAGUUACCCUGAGAGAACCUGGCCUGAAGAUGGCAGGAUGCCCAGGAUCGCCUCUCUCCAGCCCCAUGUUCUGUCUCCCAGCCUCACACACACCCCGCUGCCUGGCUGAUCCCAGGUUUGAAAGCUCCCUGGAACUCAGCCUUUCUUCUAAGCACCUCUCUGGUUUCGCUGUUGCCAUUUUUCACCUGCCCUCUGACUCCAUCUGGCCAAGGUGAGCAUUUCAGCUCCAGGUGGAUGUAGCUGGCCUGCUGGCCAAAGAUGCCCACCGGCCACUGCACUGAGCUGACACAAGGGCAACAGGGCAGCAGAUCUGGUCCCAGGUGCCACUGAUCUCUGGAGCAGGUUUUCUAACAAGGUCUUUCAGUGUGGAGAAGAGAACAGGGGAGCAUCAGGUAAGAGUUAUAUAGGGUGGGAGCCAGGGAAGGCAGGCAGAGGAAGGCAUGCAGACAUGUGUAUGCCUAAAAGUGUGCACAAGCAUGCACGCAUUCACACACACACACACACACACACACACACGUGACCUGCUCAAGUUCAGCAGCUCAUGACCAUUUUUCCUUUUCUGAAGAACAUCAGACUCAUCUGCCAGGUAACAGCAGCUGUCCGCCCCACCUACACGUGGAAUUUCUAGGCACAGCAAGGCCGGUGGCAUCCUUUACCCCGUGGCUCUUUCCAGUCCUGCCGUUUCUGGCUUUCCCCAGACUCUCUUUNNNNNNNNNNNNAAUCCAGUGAGAGACAAACACUGUCUGUGCCCUCCGUGAUAGGGUCCCACCAGUUUGCAAGUCCUUCCUGAUGCGGCAUCUGGCCUCCUGUCCUGAGGGGACAAACAGAAAGACCCAACUGGACCCUCAUGUUCCUUCUGCUCAGAGAGGCAGGAGGAGGUUGGGAGCAGAAAACAGGCUUCUACCACAGAGAGAAAGACAAUGUGUCUCCAAUGCACCAAGAAUUCCCAGGUCCUAGAAGAGGCAGGUGCUGGGAGAAAUGUCUAAGAUUAAGGGGCUGCCUCCAAUUUUUGACUAGUUCCUGGCACGUCCCAGCCCUGAACUUGGGGUUAGGUCUGCUCCUCUGGGCUCACAGGCAUCCUGUGUUUCCUCUGCCAGCAUCCUGGCCCAUAGCCGGCUACUUCCCACCAGGAUAGGAACUCCUGAUGUAGGUACAAAGUCCUCCAGUUCUGGCAGAGAAAGUUGCUCCCUAAGUGUUGAAAGACAUAGAGAGCCUUGUUUUGCAGAGGAGGAGCUGUUGCUUAGAGAAAGAAGAAGGGGAAAAGGGUGGGAAAGGAACCAGCCCUUCUGGAAAACCCAGAGGCUAGGGAGCAUCUUAGGCAUCUAACAUUCAUUUGUCUUAGGCCUCUGAGUUCAGUUCCUCCCAGAACCCUGGGGAAUUCAGGUCCCUACUCUGCAGACAUGCUAGCCAGUGCUGGGACCCAUGUAUGUGGGAGACAGCACAAUGCAAGGCUACAUAGAGUGAAAGGCUGAACAGCUGGGGACAGUGACCACAGGAGAGACCAGUGUCACAAGCCUCACGGCAAUGUGGAACAAGAGCAGGGCUGUGUAGGGGAGGAAUUCUGAGAGGCACCAAGUCCCCCCCGACCCCCGAAAUUUAAAUUUGGCCUGCCUUGCAGGCAGAGAUACAGAAUCCCUCAAGUUAAAAAAAAUUUUUUUUUUACAUUGGAGUAUGAUUUAGUGUUGUGUCAAUUUCUGCUGUACAGCAUAGUGACCCAGUCAUAGAUGUAUACACAUUUUUUCUCAUAUUAUUUUCCAUCAUGUUCUACCCCAGGAGAAUGGACAGAGCCCCCUGUGCUGUGCAAUAGGAUCACCUUACUUUUCCAUUCUAAAUGUAAUGGUUUACAUCUACCAACCCAAAGUUAAAAUGUUAAAGGGCAACAGACCCAAACUGGGAAAUGCACAGUUUCUACCUCGCCUCCCUCACCUUUGCCCAUUAGCAGAGUUAAAUUUAUACCAGGCAGAACUCAUACACACAAACCGAAAUGUACCACUGUUGGAAAUGUGAAACAACCACUCUUAUGAAUGGCAAUGCAUGGAAAAACACCUUCAACCUAUAAGAAGAUUACUUCUGAAAACUGGGAACAACUUCGAAAGAGUAAGAGAUUAUAAAAGAGCAUCAAGUAAUUUCCCAAUUUUGAAAAGACAGGGAAGUGUAUUAUACAUACACUCCAGAAGGGUCACCGCUCACAGCAGGUCCUAUUAGGAUUCUCAGGAUCUGUCUUCCUAGAAGAGGAAACUCAGAGGUCAUUGUCUUCUCUGCCAAUUGUCUGUGCCAUACAUGUAAGCAUCCCUGUACUAUAUCCACUUGUUUUAUGUCAUCUGACGUUAGAGCUAAAGGCUCCUUGAUGAUGAUUUACUCCACCCCCCUUCUUUUAUAUUUGGGAAAAUUGGGAGCUCGGUGCGUUUUCUCCAAGUUUUAGGAGCGGUGGGCCUAGCCUAGAACACUGCAUAUUUUCUAAAACGUCUUACCGAAUGCUACUCUUAACUACUGACCAUCCUAAUGCCUCUCAAAAGGAUAGGGCACAGAGCUUAAAUGAGAAAGAAAUUACACGCUGGCCAUUAAGAAGAAUACCACUUAUACCACCAUUUCAGCUUUUCUCUUGCUCCAGAGGCUCAAGCAGCAGAGUUAUGAACAUGUGAGCCAUGGCAGGUGAUGCUUCCAAGAACAUGUACUCCUGAGGUCACUCCCGCACACAUCGGGGCCCCUUCCCAGGGACCACAGAGAACAGCUGUCAUAAGGUGGGGCCAAGAAAGGCUGUUCUGUUUGUGCCUGUUUAGUGGGGCUGUGAUGAUACGUGAGGAAGUCUUUGGUAUGGCAAUAAUCCUGGAUUAUAAAUAAUUUAGCAUAUUUCUUUGUAAACGGCAGUCCAGAAUCCUUGCAAAUAAGAAAAGGAUUAACUUUUUUAGAAGGACUUGCUCUUGAGACUUUAAGUUCAAGGCAGAACAAUGCUUGCCGUGGUAAUUCCAUCUAUUUUAAGAUCACAAAACCAUACCAAGUUGAAACCGGAGCAGAAGAUAUUAAUGCAGUGCUCUCUCUGAAGUGCCCAAUAGUGGGGCGAGAAAGCUUUCAAAGGGAAUUAAGUAGACAGAGAAAGCUCCCUGUUCAUGUCCAAAUCACAAGGAGGCAGCUGAAUAGGAUUCACAGUUCUCCGUGGGAAGGACCCACACCACAGCUCAUGUUCAAAACAGGGGGGUGAUGUCUUGGGAAGAUCAAGGACCCAGAAUUCUGCUGUCAGAAUCAGCUGCCUGCCCAUUAGAGCCUCAAAAGACCCUCUUCCGUGUGUGAGCUGAUAUGAUCCUACAAAUGAGCCCAUUUUUCUUUUUCUAACCGGCCCAAAGUCUAUCUGAAGGAAACCGUCAUUAUGUAAUAUUUCCCAAGAGCCCUUGAUGUGAGCUUCAGAUCUGGGGUAUGUGCGUGUGCGUGUGCGUGUGUGUGUGUGUGUGUGCGCGCACAGUGGGAGAGGGUGAGGGGGCAGCGAGAAUAAGACGUACAUACAAAGCAGAGAAGCUGGAUGGGGAGCUUGGUGUGGAAGAACAGACACACCUCCAGGGUGAGCCUUGGGUCAAGAGGUCAACAUCUGGUUGGGACACAUAGAUGGCGGUCAUGGGGGCGGGGAACAAAAUGAGCUGCAAAGAGUCAGAGUCAGAAACAAUGGAAGGGCAACAAGAGACAGAGGUUGAGAAGUACAGGCUCACACACCAUCCACCAUCAAGGUGGGGGUGUGAAGGACUAGAGGAACAGGUCAAUGAGACCACACCGCAGAAGUCUAGCCUCCAAGAUCCUCCACAAUCUUCUCCUGCCUGUCUUUCCAGCCCCAUCUCCUGUGGUCUCCCAUAUGACAUCUUAUCUGCCAUCAUAUUAAAAAUGCAGCAGACUCUGCUGUUCUCCAUUCUUGCCUGUGUUUUUCCUGUCCUUUGUACCCAGACAGCCCUUUCUGUCUUCUCCUAAUAUGUCUCUCAUCAUCCAAGAUUUAGCUUCAGUCACCUCUUCCUGGAAGCCUUCCUUACUCCCCCAAACUGUAGGCUGGGUUAAGUACCACACCUCUGUGCUCUGAUGACAUCAUGCCAAUUUCCAAGCUGCUACCCAAGGAAGAUGGCCAAGAGGUUUCAUAUCAAGGGUCAACUGUAAACUCUGAAAGGGUCACGGUUACCUAGGGCAUGGUGGUAAGAAGGAUGCUGAGGCCUCCUCUGGAUUUAUUUGGAAAAAAUACUAUAGUUACUUAAGCAUACCUGCCACUUCAGGCCAUAGGCUACAGUUUGCCAUCCCUGUUCUGAAGCAACAUCUCAUUUGCCAGAUAAGGCGCUCAAGGCUGAAAGAUGGGAAAUAUCUGAUGAGCAUUUGAAGGCUGGUUAACAGCAAAAUCAGGAAAGGAAUUCCAGGUCUUGUGAUGCCUAAGUAAGCACUCCUUUUAAAUGAUAAAGAUUCCCCCCAAUUUUAAACCUGGAAUAUUGAAGCUUAAGAGAGUCUUAGCUCUUUCCAGAGGAGGAGGAUAAUUACAGAGUGAUUGAGCCUUGAGGAAGAACUUAAGAGAUUCAGUGAUUUUGCUUGGAUACCUCUUGCCUGAACCCCUGUGUCUUACAAGCUUUCCUCCCGCCCAAUCCUCCCCAAGUCCCCUGCCUUCAUGCUCUUCUCCAGGCAGUGCUGUUGGCACUGCCAGUGCCUAUCACCCAAGUUAAAACAAAGGCUUCUGAGCUGACUCUUCUGAUAUCACCCAUACGCCAUCAAAACGACACAUGCUCUUUGGUGUCAGGCAAGAAAGUGGAUGAAGUUGAAUCCACCUUUUCCCAUGUCAUCUUUCACUCCUCAACCUGGAACCUGAAACUCUCCUGAGAAAGAAAUAUACUUGGAAUGGUUUCCUUAGGUAAACUCUUUCGUGUCUGACUGUGAAAGGAAUUUUCCAGAGGGUUCCAGUUUCAGGAGCCUCCCAAGUAUAAGGGAAGGAGAGCUGACACACUCUCAGUCUGACAAGGGCUUGUCAUAUUACCACUGCACUUAAAUUUAGCUGGAACAUCUCAUGGGAUUCCAUAACGGCAUUUUCCUGAGACAUUAAAUGGUGAAACGCAAACUGCUUGACGGCCCAGCCCCUCUGCCACCGACCCGUGCUUCCCUGAGAGUUUGGGAUUAGAGAUGAGGUCUCCCAGCAUGUCUUGCCUCUGAAAAGGAACAUUUAACCUUUCAACUUCAGUAUGGGGACCUGGGGCUGAAGAGAGUCACCAGGAUGUCCACCUGUGAUGCGCUUUGACAUCAAAUGACCCGUUUCGCCAGGAUACCCAAGGACACAGUGCUAACCAAAGGCGGGAGAACUCCCAGAACUGGAAGCUAGUGAGAGACGAUGAUAGGACUUUGCCCACAGCCCGCUAUCCCAGGAUGCUCAACAGCAAUUAGCAACUGUGUCCUUUGUCUCACAGCAGCCCGGUUUCUACCGAGGACAGGGCAAGAGGGAAUGGGAUUAAGCUAGCAGCACUGGUUUUCAGAGGCAAGAGGUUAUUACACAGUCUCAUUUCAAGUUUCUUGGAAGGGUUUCUGGUCAACCAAACCCCUACCCCAACCCAGGCAGUACAGUCUCUGGGUGCCCUGCUUACUUCUCCAUGAGAAAUCAAAGCAGCCAAUUUGCAGUUACAUCUCCAAGGGGCUGCAAAGAGAAGGUGCUGUUGUAUCUGUUUGUCUCUGAAAGAAAGAGGCUCCUAAGGGAAGAGGGGGCUUGGAGGGAGAAGAAGGAGGGGACAAAGGCUCUGUGGGAUCUGCUCAAAGGUGCUUAGGCCCCAGAAGAAGGAUGGUGCAGGGAGGCCGAUGGGGGACGGAACCCCAGAAUCGUACAUUUUCAGGAGGAAAGGACCUCAGGGGUCAGAGGAUAUAACCUCUUCUAUUUUAUAAAUAAGGAAACUAAAAGUCAGACAUGUGAAGGGAUCUGGCCAAGGUUAGAAAACUUGUGAAGAGAGAACCAGGGCCCGAAUCCAUCUCUCCCAGGCCCCUCAUCUAGAACCGUCCCUCCAGUCCCACCCAAUAGCCACACGGACACCAAGGUCCUGCAGGAUGACCCCACAUCCAACCCCAUGAAGCCGUCUACAAUGCUGCUCUCCUCACAAAGCAAUGUCACAUCUGCCCAUUCUCUCUAAAAACUCUCUCCAUCAGCCACAUGGGCACAGAGACAGUCCUUUCUGGGAAGCGCCCUCACAGCUGACUUUUGUUGUGAAGCUCGCAAAGCCGCGUUGGCGAUUUUUUUUUUUUUCCUUUUUAACACAGCAGCUCCCUGACAAGAGGAUUAAAGCUGGAAGCUUUCAGAAAAGUCUCAAAAAUAAUUUAAAAUGCAAUAUGUUAUUGCCUCUCUAGAGGUUUGUAUACCUGCUUGAAAAAUCAUAACUCUCUCCUGCCACGCCCUAUCUGCAAUCCCGUCACUGGCAUGGUUUAUUGAAAUCAUGAAAAAAGAGUGAUCCGAGCCAUAAAUUAGGACCAGAAACCAAACUGGGCAGAUGAGGCUUUCCGAGUCAUAAGCCAAAAUGCAACGUGGGGCCACCAGUCUGGAGAUUUCCGAGGCAGCAAGUGGUAUUCUUUUGGAGCAUGCAUCCUUAGCAGGUUUCCCUGACAUAUGAUAGAAAAGAGACUAGAAGGUAGUUCCUCUGCCAAGUCAGCCUGCAGUAGAAUCACCUGGAGAGUGUGUAAAAACCCAGAGUGCCAGGCCUCACUCCUUGGAUUUUCGAUUCAGCAGGUCGAGGUUGGGCUUGAGAAUCUGCAUUCCUGAGAGUUCCCAGGAGAUGCUGACACUGCUCGUCUGAGAACCACACUUUGAGAUCCUCUGGGCUAGAACCGCUGCCCUGCUAGGUCGCUGCUGAGGUGGAGCUUAAUUACAAAGAGGAAGAUAGGAUGCAAGGUGGAAUUUUAAAAAUCCCUUCUCAGGUGCAGCAGGCAGGAUGGCAAAUAAAAGCGCACAGAUGUGAGGGUCCCGUUGUCAUAGCACUGGCUUUGAGCGGUCCCUUUAACGGGAGGUGAGCAGUACACUCCUGGUCCUUUAGUCCCCUCUAAAAAAGAUAAUGCCUGUCUGCUGCGCAAAAGCAAACACCAGGAGGCUUAAAAACCUGGGGUCUCUGUGCUCGUGCUCGUUCCUCAAGCAGGAGAAAAUAUCUUUAUGUAGCGAAAGUGCAGGGUAAAUAGAAAGUCGGGCUCGAUUUCCACCAGCUCGAGUCAAAGAAUCUGCUGAGAAGGCCACAUGACACACGAAAUGAAAUCCAGGUCCUUGAUACCCGGAGGCAGGAAAGGCAACGGAAAAUCCAAGAAAAUCCAAACGUUCCUGAAUUUCUACAGUAAACAGUUCUGGUCGGAUUCUCGUGCUAUUUUGGAACAUCCAUGAAGUUCAUUAACUGGCAUACAUUAAACAGGGAAAAGUUUGGAGGGAAAAAAAACGGUGCUGGAGGACAAAUCAGUAAUUGCUCCUUUAGAGCAAAGCAAAGUUACCAAGAAAAUCUCCUAUAAAGGCUCUGUCAAAACAAGUCACUU
rnacentral:lncRNA from 1 species